rnacentral:rRNA from 1 species
ACAGAGGGUGCAAGCGUUAAUCGGAAUUACUGGGCGUAAAGCGCACGCAGGCGGCUGCAUAAGCCGGUCGUGAAAUCCCCGGGCUUAACCUGGGAAUUGCGAUCGGGACUGUGCGGCUAGAGUGUUGGAGAGGGCAGCGGAAUUCCAGGUGUAGCGGUGAAAUGCGUAGAUAUCUGGAGGAACACCGGUGGCGAAGGCGGCAUCCUGGACUACUACUGACGCUGAGUGAGCGAAAGCCAGGGGAGCAAACGGGA